rnacentral:tRNA from 1 species
AUUUAAAUAGUUUAAUUAAAAAUUUUGGUUUGUGGUAUCAAAGAUAUAAGUGGUUUUAUUUUAAAUC